rnacentral:rRNA from 1 species
UACGGAGGAGGCAAGCGUUAUCCGGAAUUAUUGGGCGUAAAGCGUCCGCAGGUGGCACUUCAAGUCUGUCGUCAAAGACUGGGGCUUAACCCUGGAAAGGCGGUGGAAACUGAAGAGGCUAGAGUGCGGUAGGGGUAGAGGGAAUUCCCAGUGUAGCGGUGAAAUGCGUAGAGAUUGGGAAGAACACCGGUGGCGAAGGCGGCUCUCUGGAACGCAACUGACGCUGAGACGCGAAAGCGUGGGGAGCAAACAGG